rnacentral:rRNA from 1 species
AGAGUUUGAUCCUGGCUCAGGAUGAACGCUAGCGGCGUGCCUAAUGCAUGCAAGUCGAACGGGAUCCCUGGAUUCGUCUGGGGUGAGAGUGGCGAACGGGUGAGUAACACGUUGGUGACCUGCCUUAGAGAGGGGGAUAACUAUUGGAAACGAUGGCUAAUACCCCGGAUGUCAAGGCCUUUAGAAAACCUUGACUAAAGCUCCGGCGCUCUAAGAGGGGCCUGCGGCCCAUCAGCUAGUUGGUAGGGUAAUGGCCUACCAAGGCUAAGACGGGUAGGGGGCGUGAGAGCGUGACCCCCCACACUGGUACUGAGACACGGACCAGAUACCUGCGGGUAGCAGCAGCAAGGAAUAUUGCGCAAUCGACGAAAGUCGGACGCAGCAACGCCGCGUGGAGGAUGAAGGCCUUCGGGUUGUAAACUCCUUUUCUGGGGGAAGAGAAAGGACGGUACCCCAGGAAUAAGUCUCGGCUAACUACGUGCCAGCAGCCGCGGUAAAACGUAGGAGGCGAGCGUUAUCCGGAUUUACUGGGCGUAAAGCGCAUGUAGGCGGUUUUCUAAGUCGGACGUGAAAGCUCCUGGCUCAACUAGGAGAGGCCGUUCGAAACUAGGAGACUUGAGGGUGGUAGAGGAGAGUGGAAUUCCCGGUGUAGUGGUGAAAUGCGUAGAUAUCGGGAGGAACACCAGUGGCGAAGGCGGCUCUCUGGGCCACACCUGACGCUCAGAUGCGAAAGCUAGGGGAGAGAACGGGAUUAGAAACCCCGGUAUUCCUAGCCGUAAACGAUGUCAACUAGGCGUAGGAGGUUAUUGACCCCUUCUGUGCUGUAGCUAACGCGUUAAGUUGACCGCCUGGGGACUACGGCCGCAAGGCUAAAACUCAAAGGAAUUGACGG